rnacentral:rRNA from 1 species
GUCUGGUGCCAGCAGCCGCGGUAAUUCCAGCUCCAAUAGCGUAUAUUAAACUUGUUGCAGUUAAAAAGCUCGUAGUUGAAUUUCUGCGUUAUCGAGUUAUUGACUCUUGUCUUUAAUCGAUUUCGCUUUUGGGAUUUAUCCCUUUUUACUUUGAGAAAAUUAGAGUGUUUCAAGCAGACUUUUGUCUUGAAUACUUCAGCAUGGAAUAAUAGAGUAGGACUUUGGUUCUAUUUUGUUGGUUUUUGAACCUUAGUAAUGGUUAAUAGGAACGGUUGGGGGCAUUCGUAUUUAACUGUCAGAGGUGAAAUUCUUAGAUUUGUUAAAGACGAACUACUGCGAAAGCAUUUGCCAAGGACGUUUCCAUUAAUCAAGAACGAAAGUUAGGGGAUCGAAGACGAUCAGAUACCGUCGUAGUCC